AAUCUAAUUUUAUGUUGAGUCAAAUUAAUCUGUAUACAAAAUUGAGCAAAUUCAAUUUUCGUGUCAAUUCCAAACAGUAUAUAAGCUAUAACCCCCUUCUUCAUCAGUACCGUUUUCUGCUCCCUCAGGCCUCAGCACCAGCUCAAGCUUUUAGCCAUGGAUUACCCAAAAACAGCAGUUCCUACUAACAUCUUCACUGAACGCGGGUCCAAUAUCGUCGUCAUCAAUCCAGGUUCCGCAAAUAUUAGAAUAGGAUUGGCUCAACAUGACACUCCAUUCAAUAUACCUCAUUGCAUUUCCCGUCGCACUAGUCAGUUACCAAAACGAAAUGCUCAAGAUCAAAUGCUGAAUUCUCAGGUUACGACUGCACAGCAUAUGGAACGGGAAAGAGCUUAUGACAUUGUUGCGUCGUUAUUGAGAAUUCCAUUUUUGGAUGAGGAGGUAGCUAACAGUUCUUAUCCACGCAAGAUGGGGCGUGUAGACGCAUAUUCUCCGCAAAAUAACAUGAAAGAGCCAGUGUUCACUUGGACUGAUGUUUUUGAGAAAAAUGUCCCUCAUUCUUCAACAACAGCAGAAGAUGUACCCAGCGAGGGCGAUACCAGCGAGUCACCUACUCUGAAGGAAAGCAAGAUUAAGGUUGAACCUAAUUCCAGUGAACGUAAAUAUAGAGAGUACAUAUGUGGAGAGGAAGCUUUAAGAAUUUCCCCAACAGAACCAUAUUGCUUGCGGCGUCCUAUACGCCGAGGUCAUCUGAAUGUAUCUCAAUAUUAUCCGACGCAGCAGGUUCUCGAAGACCUGCAUACUAUAUGGGAGUGGAUUUUGGUUGAGAAAUUGCAUAUUUCUCAUCGUGAGAGAAGCAUGUAUUCUGCAAUCCUUGUUAUUCCAGAGACAUUUGACAAUCGUGAAAUCAAGGAAAUGCUAUCUAUCGUGUUGCGUGACUUACGGUUUGGUUCAGCAGUAGUCCACCAGGAAGGUCUUGCUGCAGUUUUUGGAAAUGGUUUAUCAACAGCAUGCAUUGUCAACAUGGGAGCUCAAGUGACAUCUGUUAUCUGUGUUGAGGAUGGAGUGGUUCUACCCACAACACAGAUAUCUUUACGGUUUGGUGGAGAGGAUAUAUCAAGAUGCCUUCUCUGGACUCAGAGGCAUCAUCAAACAUGGCCACCUAUUCGGACUGAUGCCCUGUCAAAGCCUGUAGAUUUGCUGAUGCUUAACAGACUUAAGGAGUCCUACUGUCAGAUCAAAGAGGGGGAAGUAGAAGCUGUUGCUAUGGUACAUUCAUAUGAAGAUGGAAUGCAACCUGGAUCUCAUAAGACUAGGCUGACUGCUCUUAAUGUUCCCCCAAUGGGUUUAUUUUACCCAAUGCUUUUGGUUCCAGAUGUCUAUCCUCCGCCACCUCGCUCUUGGUUUAACGAUUAUGAUGAUAUGCUUGAGGACACAUGGCACAUGGACUUCCCUGGUGGUGGUGCAUAUCCGAUGUGGGAGAGCUACCCAGUUUUCCAAACAAAGCCAAAGAAAGAAGAUAUUAUUGGACUUGCUGAAGCUAUUACAAAGAGCAUUCUUUUGACAGGGCGUAUUGAGCUACAGAGAAAGUUGUUUUGCAGCAUGCAACUGAUUGGUGGAGCUGCAUCGAUUUAUGGUCUCAUUCCUGCUGUGGAGGAAAGAGUUUUACAUGCAAUCCCUUCACAUGAAGCAAUUGACACUGUGGAGGUCUUGCAAUCGAGAACAAAUCCAGCAUUUGUGUCAUGGAAAGGCGGAGCAAUCCUUGGAAUUCUUGAUAUUAGUAGGGAGGCCUGGAUUCAUCGUGAGGACUGGAUUAAAAAUGGAAUUCACAUUGGCAGUGGGAGAAAGUACAAGGAUUCAUGUUAUCUUCAAGCUCAGGCAAUGUGCUAUCUGAAUUCAUAAGAGCUUUCUGCAGGGUUAUGAGAUUUGAUAAAGAUCCAAACUGGAGCUUGCUACCUUAUCUUGAAGACGAAAGAACUGAAAAGCCAAGUAGUCAUCAAAAUUCGGCGCAUUAGUCAAAAGCUAAACAAUUCGAUGACCUUUUCGUUGGAUUAUUUUUAAAUAUGACCUUUGGUUGGUAUAACCAUUCUCACUGAAAUGGUCGGAAACUUGUUAACUUUUUCAUAUACAAUAUAUUACUACUAUUUUUUGUUUCACACUGAUCAUAUUCGUGAGAAUAGCUAGUGAAUAUUUAUAUUUUUCCGGGGAAAUUUUAGAGGGAAAAUAGCGAUUCUUUUCAAUAGUGUAGAUACUCAUCAAUGCUUCCUAUUAUUUCCGUAUGGAGAUGCUAUUAUUUUCUUCUCUCUCAUUCAAUUAAAAUAUCCAAUGAAAUAACUACUAAACAUUUUUUAGUAGUAAAUUUCAAUGGAAAACUAGUGACUUUUAAAUAGUGAAAGUGGUAUUUGAGGGUUAAAAUGGUCAUUUGAGAAACGAUUACUAAUUUCUAUUUCAUGUACUACACACUUCUCUAAUACUUUUGAUAAUUCCUUCGUUACUUAAAAAAAUUAUGGAUUAAUGUUUUCAAAACAUUAGUUGGUGCACCAAAAA